GACGAACGCUGGCGGCGUGCUUAACACAUGCAAGUCGAACGGAAAGGCCCUGCUUUUGUGGGGUGCUCGAGUGGCGAACGGGUGAGUAACACGUGAGUAACCUGCCCUUGACUUUGGGAUAACUUCAGGAAACUGGGGCUAAUACCGGAUAGGAGCUCCUGCUGCAUGGUGGGGGUUGGAAAGUUUCGGCGGUUGGGGAUGGACUCGCGGCUUAUCAGCUUGUUGGUGGGGUAGUGGCUUACCAAGGCUUUGACGGGUAGCCGGCCUGAGAGGGUGACCGGCCACAUUGGGACUGAGAUACGGACCAGACUGCUACGGGAGGCAGCAGUGGGGAAUAUGGCACAAUGGGCGGAAGCCUGAUGCAGCAACGCCGCGUGCGGGAUGACGGCCUUCGGGUUGUAAACCGCUUUCGCCUGUGACGAAGCGUGAGUGACGGUAAUGGGUAAAGAAGCACCGGCUAACUACGUG
rnacentral:rRNA from 1 species